GUGUAAGUCCUUGUCGCGCCUCUGCAAGCUGAGAACUUCCUUCAUGGGAAGGUUUUUUCAUAAGGACCACCUUUACCGCGUGGUAAAGGCUUUAAUGCCAAUAUGCAGAGAAACAGAUUCCGAAAUCUUAAAGUUUGUUUAAAGGACCAACUUCUUAUUUCACAAGUCUUUGGAAAGAAGCACUCUGAAAACCUUAGGAAACAAAAAUGUAAAUACUGCGAGUCAGUGUUAAAACUUUGAGAAGCAAAUCUUUGUUUCUUUCCGAUUUGGUGGAAAGAUCCUGGCCCAUGCCCGAUGAGUGUCAAAGGUAUGAAGCUGUCCUGACAGGUUACCUAGGGAUUCCCUUGCCCUGGAGAGCCUUUUGUUAAUGUAAAGCUGAUGUGGCUGUUCUCCGCCUCCGCCCCUAUGGUUCCUGUUGCGUGAAGUAAACACUGUGUGGCCAGAGUGCAGGUGAGCUUUGACCAGCCCUGGCUGCUAAGAUGGUUUCUGGGUAGUGUUCGGAGGGGAUUUAAUAUAAUUGCGCUUAAUAGCCUUGUGAAUAAUCAGGGUGCCGUGUUGGACUCUGGCAAAAGCUGUGGUCAGGGCAGGUAGAAAAUGGCAAGUGCGUUUAUGAGUCACCACCCCUCGUCCUCCUCAGAUUCAACUUCAGCGCCAGAGGAUCCCACUCGUAACAGCGAUUUGUUAAAUAAAAUGCAGAAAGAGGGGUCCCUUGCCUAGUAGGUUGGCCCAUAGCGUGAGUGUGUUUGUAAAAGCCUGUGUAGUGUGUCUGUUUACACAGAAAGCCAGGCUGAGCUCAGGUAAAUAAUUACUGCUAAAACGCUAUUACUUUCAGUAAAUACAAACUAAUGUUUGCUGCUCUACACAUUGUUUACCGAGGAAGCCAGAAGAACCAGAACCAAUGUUUGUUCCCUUAGAGAUUUCAUGCCAACUGCCUGAAAUAGAUCUACGCAUCAUUUUGUGUGUUGUCCCUGUAACUGGUCCUCUGCUGCCUUGUGGCAUAGAUGGUUUGGGCAGUGUAAGCCCCUUGCUAUUUGCCCCCGCCUCUUACCUCUAUUUCUACAAGGUUAAAAAAACCCCAUGUUGAUAGAAGUCUACCUUGCAGUCUGUAUAAAUAUAUGUCUUCAAAAGAUAUAAAGGGGAUUAGGUGUGAUGUGCUGUUGUAAUUUUGCCUCUAGUGUCAUCGUUUCCUUUGGGGAAAAGUGAGCAUAGAGUUAAAAUACAGUCUAAUGACCUGAGCAAGGUAUUUCCUUAUAUUAUUACUUUAGAUAGAGAAUCAGUUCCAACAAUUCACCAGAAGUUACAUAUGUGAUCCAUUAGAUUUCAGAACAUUUUACCCAAGUCAAAAGUUAACGUUGUAACACAAUGUUUUAAAAGAUAAAAUAUGCAAUCCCAAAGGAAGCAGGCUACUAUGGAACACCGCUGGAAACAUUCCCUGGAUAGAUGCAUAGCUUGUAUUCAGAUUUAUCAAUAAAAACCAUGAGUAUUAACAUUCAUCCUUCUUAACCACUUGGAACAGGGAGCAACGAUUUCCCAGCCCUGAGCGUGCUGCAGAGAAAAACUGGUUUCCACCUACUGAGGUGAAAGGAUUAAUGAAUACUUGGCACAUGAAAAAUGAAUAGUGAUAGCAGGAAGAAGAUUGCAUGUAGACAGUGUGAUAAGACUGCCUGGAAGUAAAUCUCUCAGCCUGACUAUCCGCUGUUCGUUGCAGACGGGGAACCAGUGAUACCUGCUUAGCAUCAAGCCCCAGCAUCAGCUUUGGACCCAUGGAGAAGGAAGGAGGCAUCUUCCCAAAAGCCUUCUGGGCACCUCUAACCCCAGCAGCCUUGUCCUACACCUGCAGCAGCCCGUCCUACCCUUGUCACCCGAGGAUCCUACCCUUGUCAUCCCUGGAGAUUCAUCCUGUCUAGAGGCAGAGCUGUCACCAUCUCUGCAACUGUGGGAACAUCCCAGGAAAUGGAGAGGUGGGCCUGGUCCUGAGGGCUUGGGGCAAAACAAGGUCUGAAUGAAAGCCCCAGCUCCCUUUGCUGCUCCGUAAUUCCAGUUAUAACAUUGAUUCAUAGUGAAACAAUCUGGUGAAAAGGAAAAAAAAAAAAAAAAGACUUCCCUGGAAGAAAAUUUCUUUUUAUUGUCAACUUUCACACAGUCAGAGGAAGAAAUUCCCUAGGCAAUUAGAGCUUCUGACAUUACAGGCACAAGGUUUGUUUUGAGAAAACAAACACAUGUCAGCGUUUUUUAAAGUUAUUUUUUCAACCUUUAGACAUGUUGGCAAGGCAUCGAUUCAGUGGGUUUUUAUACAGGAAGGCAUAUAGACAGGAAAGCCCAGUACCAGCUGUAAGUGCAAUAUGCCACCAGUCUGCUAAUGACAAAGAGCAACAACGCGAAGGAGCCAUCGACCAAACAAAGCAAAAGGAGGAGAGAGGCACCCACAGAAGUGGGUGGGUGGCAGCCACCCAAUUAUUGGAGAUUUCCCUGGUACGAGUACCUAAAGUCAUUAGCAUAAAAGCAGCACUAGUUAGGGACAUCUGCACAGCUGUGAGUAGCU